CCGAAAGCUUUAAAACCCUCUGACUGUUUUGAUUUCAGUGCACUGUGACAAGGAAAAGCUAUGUAAUUAAUCAUGCUAAUUCAAAUGAGAAUUACUUUUUGGUCAAACCAGUGUUUUUACAAUUGCCUCCAGACCUCGUGCUUUUCAUUAAUACUAUUAGUGCUGUAGAAUUACUUACUCCUCAUUUUAUAUACGCCUUUCUGUAAGUCAACUAACAAAGCUAAUUAGUAGCUGUGAAAGAACAUAUUGAUGGAAUAAAAAUAUAUAAAAUUGUUCUGAGAAUUCUCAGGGUGAACCCUAUAUAUCAUGGGGUUUUGCUCAGUACUGUAGGCCCUUUUCCCUAAUAUAAAUAAACUUAUGUAAAAUUAAAGGGUUUUAAAUUUGCCACUAAGAGACCAUACACUUCCUGAAAGAACCAUUUUAAAAUUACACAUAAACACGUGCAAUCAAUCUUUACUACGUAGCUAGGAAUUUAGCAUAUGGAAGGGGGGAGUCAUGUUUUUAUGUUCCAAAGCAGGCACUUGGCACUUGUGGAUGAAAAUGCACAAUUAGCAACUAGAACCUAGGCUAAGCCAAAAAGCAAAUUUUACAAUAUCCUGCAAUGACAGCACCACGGUAACAGUUAAACAAUCCAAAGGCAGCAGCUGGACCCAGGGAGGCCUCGGUGGAAUUUGGAUUAACAGCGUCACAAAAGCAGAACAAAGACAAAUACAUCGGGAACUCAUGGAGCCAUACCGGGAAGCUGAAGCGCCAAGAGGCAGCGUGGGAUGAAAGCAGAGCCCCUUUGGCUCCUACUCUGGGUGGUGAAGCAGGAUGGACAGUCUUGUUGGAAACAGCAGCUGCUCCAAGUUCUACCCAGAGAAUCAUCUUUCAAAUCAGGAGGAACUCUCAAAAGAUGACAACUCUGACCCAAAAAGCAUUUCAAAUGCUGCAGUUGCAGAAAACUGAUUGUUGCAAGAUUCCACUGUGAUGAUUAAGCAAAUGUUUGGGAUGACCCUGCAAACUUCAGAAAAGAAAAAUUUGGAGUUGUUAUUCCAAGCAAAUUCAUCCCUGUCAGAUUAGAUUUUACCCAGUGGCGCUUUCAAUUACACGCCUCAAAUAAAGAUUUAAUUCAGAUUUAAUAAGACAGUUACUGCAUGCUAAUUAAAUACUAAUGGAUUAUUAAAAACAUAUUUUCUGCAGGUCUAACAACCCCAUAGCAAGCACAUCUAUCUAAACCUGAAUACACAUGGUUUUAAUCAGCCAUUGGAAUUAAGUUAAA